rnacentral:rRNA from 1 species
GGACGAACGCUGGCGGCGUGCCUAAUACAUGCAAGUCGAGCGAAUCGACAGGAGCUUGCUCCUGUUGGUUAGCGGCGGACGGGUGAGUAACACGUGGGCAACCUGCCUAUAAGACUGGGAUAACUUCGGGAAACCGGAGCUAAUACCGGAUAAUCCUUUUCCACACAUGUGGGAAAGCUGAAAGACGGUUUCGGCUGUCACUUAUAGAUGGGCCCGCGGCGCAUUAGCUAGUUGGUGAGGUAAUGGCUCACCAAGGCGACGAUGCGUAGCCGACCUGAGAGGGUGAUCGGCCACACUGGGACUGAGACACGGCCCAGACUCCUACGGGAGGCAGCAGUAGGGAAUCUUCCGCAAUGGACGAAAGUCUGACGGAGCAACGCCGCGUGAACGAUGAAGGCCUUCGGGUCGUAAAGUUCUGUUGUUAGGGAAGAACAAGUANCGGAGUAACUGCCGGUACCUGACGGUACCUA